rnacentral:rRNA from 1 species
UACGUAGGUGGCGAGCGUUGUCCGGAAUUACUGGGUGUAAAGCGCGUGUAGGCGGGAGGCCAAGUCUGUGGUGAAAUCGCUCGGCUUAACUGGGCGGGGUCCAUGGAAACUGGUCACCUGGAGGUCGGUAGAGGCAAGUGGAAUUCCCGGUGUAGUGGUGAAAUGCGUAGAGAUCGGGAGGAACACCAGUGGCGAAGGCGGCUUGCUGGGCCGGACCUGACGCUGAGACGGCGAAGGCGUGGGGAGCGAACGGGG